rnacentral:sRNA from 1 species
GCCAAGAAUUGAAAGAAAAAAAAAAGCCAAAUUAUAUAAAAUUAUUCAGACAGACACAUUGUCUGAACAAAGUACUCAAUAAGUUGUAAUUGUAUUUGAUGGUUAUUUAUAGUUUGUUUUUGUUUUAAAAUAAUAUCCUAAUUUGAACUGAACUCUGUGAUAAAAGCACAUACAUAAGAAAAAAUAGAAAAAGGAAACAAAAUAAACAAUAAUAAAGGAAACAGAAACUGCAAGGGUAACAAUGAUGAGUUUUACACACAAAUAACUUAAUGUUUAUAAUUCUGAAAUAUGCAUCAAAAUAGAAACCACCUUAAACUGUUAUAUAAGCUUUAAAAUUUAACAGUAAUUUUAAAAGUACUUUUUAUAUUUGCAUUACACUUUAUUUUUUGUAAUACUAUUUUUGUUAUAAACUAUAAGUAUCCCGCCCAAACUAAAACUAGCCAAAUGUGCUUGUAAAGUAUAUCAAGGAGAAUAAUAAUAAAAAAACAAAAAACACAACAGAAAGUUGAAUGGAUAAAAAAGAAAGAAAACAAACAUGAAACAUCAGACAUCUAUCACAACUAGUUGCUUCAAAAGCACUAGAAACAAACAAGUCCAAUAAAGAUGAUUUUACAUUGUGAUCAGACAGUUACUACAUUUAAAGAGGCAAAAUAAAAAGAAAUGAUGUGGAAAGCUAAAACACUUCAAUAUACAAGUAACAGUGGUAUAUUUCACUUUGAAGAAGUAUUUUAGGUUACAAUUCAUAGCUUUAUUGAUUUUUUUUUCCUGUUUACAUUGUUCAUUCAACUAUCAAUGAGGCUAAAUUACACAGAAAUUUGCCACAAGUGAAUAACUACAAAUCAGGGACAUUGCAUAAGGUUGUAUGAACACAUUCUAAUGCCCUAUACACUUUUUGUCCAUUAAUUUUGAUGUUAUUAAGAAUAUUCUGAACUCUUAAGACUACAUGAAGAAGAAAAGGAAACAUUUCAUUUUUUUUAAAUAUCCAUACAUUGAAAUAUAUAUAUAUAUAUAUAUUUUAUUGUAAUUUUUUGGGGCAUAUUCAUUUAAGAUAGUAAAUGCCUCCCACAUAUACAAAGCAUACAUACUAUGAUAAAUGAUUAUGAUUAAUAUUGUUUUAAGACUUUUAGUCAGUUAAAAUUAAAAAUGAGUAAAACCAUGUAUUCACUGGACUUAUUAAAAAAUAAACAAACAAAGAAGUGUAUAUAUUUUAGGGACCAAAAAGUACAAUUACAAGCAAUGGAAGUGUUUACGGUAUUUCUAAAUAAACAUAAUUAUCAGUUCAGAAACAAUCUAUCCUGCUGGCUGAUAUAAUUGUGUACAAGUUUAUGAAAUAGUAGAUCAUGCUGGAUGGUGCAUUGAUAUAUAAUUAUGUUAACAGUUAGUCUAUUCUGCUGGAUGAUAUAAACAAGUCUAUUCUGCUGGCUUGGAUGAUGCUGGUAUGAUUGGGUUAAAUAGUUAAUAAUAAAGCACUAAUCUAUCCUGCUUGAAAGUAAUAAUUUUUCCAAACUUAUGUUAAGAUAUUUUGUACAAGAUUAAAGGCUUUUAGAACCAGGUGUUGGUCAACAACAGAGCUUUUAGAACCAGGUGUUGGUCAACAACAGAGCUUUUAGAACCAGGUGUUGGUCAACAACAGAGCUUUUAGAACCAGGUGUUGGUCAACAACAGAGCUUUAAGCUGCCCAGUCACACAGAACAAAUGCCAAACAUUUUUUUUCAGUUGGUAUUCAUCACACCACUGCUCCAACAUCAAACAAUAGCAAAAUGAAAUGGUUUUAGCAAAAGAAACAAAAACUAGCCAAAUAAAGAAGCAGAAACUAAAAUGUAAAAACGGAGAUGAACAAUAAAAACUGACAAGAAAAAUUAACAAGACAAAAUUUACAAAAUAACAACACAGAAAAAUGAGAUAAUACUAAAUCCAUUCUCAAACAAUGCUGAAUGAAGGAACGAAGUUAAAAAUGAAUAAUGAUAUGAUUCAAAUGCUGUUAAGUUUUAUUUUUUCAAUGAGUUGAAAAUGGUUUCAGUACUUUAAAGACACAUAAACAAGGGAGAUUAAUACAAAACAACAAAAAGAACAAGUGCACAAUUUGAAUAAGAAAUAUGUCACAAAUGCUUCAGAGAUGAAAAAGUCAAAAUCCAUCAAAAUAAACAGAAAUAGAUGGUCCAGUCACUUCACAAUAUCCACAUGCUUAAGCCAGGACGUCAUCCAGUUGAUCUACCAUGUAUUCAGGUGUGAACUCUUCCAAUAACAAAUGAACAACAGCCAUUGAGACUAGGGAUUAGUUAGCUUAUCAACAGAUGGGUGAUUGAAUUUAUAUAUAAACUUCCUAAAGUUCUUGUUUUCAGUUUUUAUUUUAUUAACAUGUAUAAUGUUCCUUACUAGGCAUAUAUAUAUAUUUUUUCAUAUAAUAUAAGUUUCCUUUCCCAAGAUGGCUCAGUGCUAUUACCCUGAUAUGUAUAGAUUUUUUAAAAUGUAUUCCUUUCUUAAUUUGUAUAUCUCAAUCAAAAUGAUAAAAAAAAAAUUUAAAGCACUACUUAGAGAAUACGAAACUAUCUGUUUGAUAGCUAACAAUAACAACAACAUUUUGUCAACUACAGAAGACUAAAAUUAAGAAAUAAUAAG